rnacentral:rRNA from 1 species
AAACGACUCUCGGCAACGGAUAUCUCGGCUCACGCAUCGAUGAAGAACGUAACAAAAUGCGAUACUUGGUGUGAAUUGCAGAAUCCCGUGAACCAUCGAGUUUUUGAACGCAAGUUGCGCCCGAAGCCAUCCGGUUGAGGGCACGCCUGCCUGGGCGUCACG